rnacentral:rRNA from 1 species
ACUCAAAUGAAUUGACGGGGGCCCGCACAAGCGGUGGAUCAUGUGGUUUAAUUCGAAGCAACGCGAAGAACCUUACCUGGGUUUGACAUCCUCUGAAGUUAGUAGAGAUAUUAAUGGCUCGCAAGAGACAGAGAGACAGGUGCUGCAUGGCUGUCGUCAGCUCGUGUUGUGAAAUGUUGGGUUAAGUCCCGCAACGAGCGCAACCCCUGUGCUUGGUUGCCAUCAUUUAAGGUGGGCACUCCAAGCAGACUGCCGUCGUCAAGACGGAGGAAGGUGGGGAUGACGUCAAGUCCUCAUGGCCUUUAUAUCCAGGGCGACACACGUGAUACAAUGGUAGGUACAAAGGGUAGCCAAGUGGUGACACGGAGCCAAUCCCAAAAAACCUAUCUCAGUUCGGAUUGGAGUCUGCAACUCGACUCCAUGAAGUUGGAAUCGCUAGUAAUCGCGGAUCAGAACGCCGCGGUGAAUACGUUCCCGGGCCUUGCACACACCGCCCGU